rnacentral:lncRNA from 1 species
CCGCAUGCGCAGCUCUUCAACGGCGCGGCUUGCAGAAAAGAUGGAGUGUCCUGUGCCCGAUUUUACGGAGGCUGCGGACCCUGGUGGAGCCGGACCUUACAAGAGCUCCGAGGAGCCGGAGGGUCGGGAACCGGACGGAGUGCGCUUCGACCGCGAGAGGGCGCGCCGCCUGUGGGAAGCUGUGUCCGGUGCACAGCCGGCGGGGAGGGAGGAAGGUGAGUCGGGGGCUCCGGGGUUCGCGGCUGGACUGAGGCGGGAUGGCCUGCCUUCUGUCACUCCCCUUGGCGCCGGCCAGCCUCUCCCCGACGUUCCGGAGCUCCGAGCUCGCUCUCGUGAAGGGUGCAGGGCCUCGUAACUCGCUGCCCUGCGGAAUUUUUCCGUCCUCCUUUCGAGGGCGUUCACUUGAGAACAGUUCCCCCAGAUUCUAGGUCUUGUCCUCUUGGAGAUCGAACCAGGACCGUCCCAGCCUGACUCGUAGCCGAGCUAGCUACCGUUCCCCUCUGUGCUUAAUUCCAUAACCCCACAUUGCUUCUCUUCCCUUUCAAAGCCCUACGGUUCUGACCGAUCCGAAUAGCUUCAUUUAGUUUACUUUUUAUAUUUUCAUUUAUUUUGUGACACCUCUCACUGCCCAACUCGUGGUGGAUCAGCCUCGGAGUGACAGGACAAGUGUGAGCUUUGGAAGGUCUUCCUGAAUCCCAGCUUCCUCCCGGGCUUGGUGACUGUGCCCUGACUUGCCAUGGUU